rnacentral:tRNA from 1 species
UGGCUCAGUUGGUAGAGCAUGGUGUGACCAACGCCAGGGUUGUGGGUUCGAUUCCCAC